rnacentral:rRNA from 1 species
UACAGAGGUCUCAAGCGUUGUUCGGAUUCAUUGGGCGUAAAGGGUGCGUAGGCGGCGCGGUAAGUCGGGUGUGAAAUCUCGGGGCUUAACUCCGAAACUGCAUUCGAUACUGCCGUGCUUGAGGACUGGAGAGGAGACUGGAAUUUACGGUGUAGCGGUGAAAUGCGUAGAUAUCGUAAGGAAGACCAGUGGCGAAGGCGGGUCUCUGGACAGUUCCUGACGCUGAGGCGCGAAGGUCAGGGGAGCAAACGGG